rnacentral:rRNA from 1 species
AGUGAACGCUGGCGGUAGGCCUAACACAUGCAAGUCGAACGGCAGCACAGUAAGAGCUUGCUCUUACGGGUGGCGAGUGGCGGACGGGUGAGGAAUACAUCGGAAUCUACUUUUUCGUGGGGGAUAACGUAGGGAAACUUACGCUAAUACCGCAUACGACCUACGGGUGAAAGCAGGGGAUCUUCGGACCUUGCGCGAUUGAAUGAGCCGAUGUUGGAUUAGCUAGUUGGCGGGGUAAAGGCCCACCAAGUCGACGAUCCGUAGCUGGUCUGAGAGGAUGAUCAGCCACACUGGAACUGAGACACGGUCCAGACUCCUACGGGAGGCCGCAGUGGGGAAUGGUGGACAAUGGGCGCGAGCCUGAUCCAGCCAUACCGCGUGGGUGAAGAAGGCCUUCGGGUUGUAAAGCCCUUUUGUUGGGAAAGAAAAGCAGCAGGUUAAUACCCCGCUGUUCUGACGGUACCCAAAGAAUAAGCACCGGCUAACUUCGUG